UACAGAGGUGGCAAGCGUUGUUCGGAAUUACUGGGCGUAAAGGGCGCGUAGGCGGCCUUCUAAGUCAGACGUGAAAUCCCUCGGCUUAACCGGGGAACUGCAUCUGAUACUGGAUGGCUUGAGAUUGGGAGAGGGAUGCGGAAUUCCAGGUGUAGCGGUGAAAUGCGUAGAUAUCUGGAGGAACACCGGUGGCGAAGGCGGCAUCCUGGACCAACAUUGACGCUGAGGAGCGAAAGCCAGGGGAGCAAACGGG
rnacentral:rRNA from 1 species